rnacentral:rRNA from 1 species
AAACCAACAGGGAUUGCCUUAGUAACGGCGAGUGAAGCGGCAAAAGCUCAAAUUUGAAAUCUGGCACUUUCAGUGUCCGAGUUGUAAUUUGAAGAAGGUAACUUUGGAGUUGGCCCUUGUCUAUGUUCCUUGGAACAGGACGUCACAGAGGGUGAGAAUCCCGUGCGAUGAGGUGUCCAAUUCUAUGUAAAGUGCUUUCGAAGAGUCGAGUUGUUUGGGAAUGCAGCUCUAAGUGGGUGGUAAAUUCCAUCUAAAGCUAAAUAUUGGCGAGAGACCGAUAGCGAACAAGUACAGUGAUGGAAAGAUGAAAAGAACUUUGAAAAGAGAGUGAAAAAGUACGUGAAAUUGUUGAAAGGGAAGGGCUUGAGAUCAGACUCGGUAUUUUGCAAGCCUAUCCUUCGUGGAGAGGUUUAUUAGCAGCUUACCGGGCCAGCAUCGGUUUGGAUGGUAGGAUAAUAGCAUUGGAAUGUGGCUCCUCGGAGUGUUAUAGCCUUUGUUGAUACUGCCUAUCUAGACCGAGGACUGCGUCUUUGACUAGGAUGCUGGCGUAAUGAUCUUAAGCCGC